AACAUGCUUCAAUUUUUAGAGUUUUUGUUCACACCAGAUUUCUAUAAACCAGUCUUAUGUAUGUGAACCUGCAUUGAGGCUGAUUCUUUUACAUGUUUUUGUCGACUAUGGCGGUGGUAAGGUCGAAUAGAUUAUCGAUUUUGGGUGACUUUGGUCUCUGCGGUGAGACGUCAAUCUCAAUUUCUCUUCUUUCAAUUUUCAUUCCCUACAAUCUCCCCAAUUUCAUGAUCUAAUAUCACUCUUUGUGCUCAUUUCACUCUCUCUAGCUCUCUCAUUAGAGUUUUGGAUUUGGUUCUCUCUGAUGUUUCACUUCCUUUGACCUCUUUAUGGGCUCCUUUCAGUAUUUGUUUGUGUUUGGUUUGAAUAUGUCUCAGGGCCUUUGAAUGUGAUUGCUCUCAGGCAACUAAAAAUUGUUGUUCUCAGGAUGCAGAGUCGUCAAUGUUCGUGUUCGACCAUGGAGCUUGACCGCGUGGAGAAUAGGACAGCAUAGAGUGAAGACAAAUCAUGAUGCAGAGGAUCCAAUUUGGCAACUUCUCUCUGGCUGCAAAAAAUAGCUGAUCUGAGGAUGCUGAGCUGUGGCUGCAAGAUAUUAGUGUGUCUGACCAAAGUUUCCUGUCACGACACGGAGAAUGGGACAACUCAGAGGUGAGGUUGAGACCCAAACCAUAACCUUCAUGCGACCAUAAACACUAGCACAUGAAGGUUCUUACCCUGCAGAGUUGAAGAAGCCAGAGGCGGCAAAGAAAUUUCAAAUCCCUCUAGCAUUCUUCUCCAGUUCUCCUUCAUCAUCGUCCACACCGGUUAUUACUGGGAGAAGACUGGACAUUACAACUUAAUGGAGUCUGUUGGAGAGAUCAAUUGUAAUUGAAAAUGAGUAUUUAAAGACUUUUGCUCACUACAACACAGCCACUGAACAUGCAUGCUUCCCAACUGCAGCCUCAGGGUCAGCUCCCAAAAUCAUAAAAUUCACCUAAAUGGUUUUGUAACUUUAAGAGCUUAAUGUGGUUUUGAUGGGUGUCUUUGCAUUCAGCAAUUGGGUCUGUGCCUGUAUUUUGUGCUGUGAAAUAUAUUUCCCGUGUACAUCUUAGGGAUUUUCCUUCUUGGGAUGCAUACUAAAGAAUUGGUAUUUAUGAUAUUGGCAGAGAGACACAUACCGUAAUUUGAAGCUUGCUGAUUUUUAUUGGCUCAA